rnacentral:tRNA from 1 species
ACUCUCUUAGUUUAAAUAAAACCUUAAAUUGCAAAUUUAACUUAAAAAUCAUUAGAUGGUA